rnacentral:rRNA from 1 species
GUCUACAGCCAGACCAACCUGAACACACCCCAUCUCUCCUAAUCUUGGAAGCUAAGAAGAGUUGGGCCUGGUUAGUACUUGGAUGGGACAAGACAGAGACAGAAAGAAGGUGGUUACUGCCC